rnacentral:rRNA from 1 species
AUUCCAGCUCCAAUAGCGUAUAUUAAAGUUGUUGCGGUUAAAAAGCUCGUAGUUGGAUUUCUGCUGAGGACGACUGGUCCGCCCCCUGGGUGAGCAUCUGGUUCGGCCUGGGCAUCUUCUUGGGGAACGUAUCUGCACUUGAUUGUGUGGUGCGGUAUCCAGGACUUUUACUUUGAGGAAAUUAGAGUGUUUCAAGCAGGCCCGCGCCUUGAAUACAUUAGCAUGGAAUAAUAAGAUAGGACCUCGGUUCUACUUUGUUGGUUUCUAGAUCUGGAGUAAUGAUUGAUAGGGAUAGUUGGGGGUGCUAGUAUUAAGGGGCCAGAGGUGAAAUUCUUGGAUUCUCUUAAGACUAACUUAUGCGAAAGCAUUCACCAAGGAUGUCUUCAUUA